rnacentral:rRNA from 1 species
CUGGCUCAGGAUGAACGCCGGCGGUGUGCCUAAUACAUGCAAGUCGUACGCACUGGCCCAACUGAUUGAUGGUGCUUGCACCUGAUUGACGAUGGAUCACCAGUGAGUGGCGGACGGGUGAGUAACACGUAGGUAACCUGCCCCGGAGCGGGGGAUAACAUUUGGAAACAGAUGCUAAUACCGCAUAACAAUAAAAGCCGCAUGGCUUUUAUUUGAAAGAUGGCUUUGGCUAUCACUCUGGGAUGGACCUGCGGUGCAUUAGCUAGUUGGUAAGGUAACGGCUUACCAAGGCGAUGAUGCAUAGCCGAGUUGAGAGACUGAUCGGCCACAAUGGAACUGAGACACGGUCCAUACUCCUACGGGAGGCAGCAGUAGGGAAUCUUCCACAAUGGGCGCAAGCCUGAUGGAGCAACACCGCGUGAGUGAAGAAGGGUUUCGGCUCGUAAAGCUCUGUUGUUGGAGAAGAACGUGCGUGAGAGUAACUGUUCAUGCAGUGACGGUAUCCAACCAGAAAGUCACGGCUAACUACGUGCAGCAGCCGCGGUAAUACGUAGGUGGCAAGCGUUAUCCGGAUUUAUUGGGCGUAAAGCGAGCGCAGGCGGUUGCUUAGGUCUGAUGUGAAAGCCUUCGGCUUAACCGAAGAAGUGCAUCGGAAACCGGGCGACUUGAGUGCAGAAGAGGACAGUGGAACUCCAUGUGUAGCGGUGGAAUGCGUAGAUAUAUGGAAGAACACCAGUGGCGAAGGCGGCUGUCUGGUCUGCAACUGACGCUGAGGCUCGAAAGCAUGGGUAGCGAACAGGAUUAGAUACCCUGGUAGUCCAUGCCGUAAACGAUGAGUGCUAGGUGUUGGAGGGUUUCCGCCCUUCAGUGCCGGAGCUAACGCAUUAAGCACUCCGCCUGGGGAGUACGACCGCAAGGUUGAAACUCAAAGGAAUUGACGGGGGCCCGCACAAGCGGUGGAGCAUGUGGUUUAAUUCGAAGCUACGCGAAGAACCUUACCAGGUCUUGACAUCUUGCGCUAACCUUAGAGAUAAGGCGUUCCCUUCGUGGACGCAAUGACAGGUGGUGCAUGGUCGUCGUCAGCUCGUGUCGUGAGAUGUUGGGAUAAGUCCCGCAACGAGCGCAACCCUUGUUACUAGUUGCCAGCAUUGAGUUGGGCACUCUAGUGAGACUGCCGGUGACAAACCGGAGGAAGGUGGGGACGACGUCAGAUCAUCAUGCUCCUUAUGACCUGGGCUACACACGUGCUACAAUGGACGGUACAACGAGUUGCAAACUCGCGAGAGCAAGCUAAUCUCUUAAAGCCGUUCUCAGUUCGGACUGUAGGCUGCAACUCGCCUACACGAAGUCGGAAUCGCUAGUAAUCGCGGAUCAGCAUGCCGCGGUGAAUACGUUCCCGGGCCUUGUACACACCGCCCGUCACACCAUGGGAGUUUGUAACGCCCAAAGUCGGUGGCCUAACCUUUGUGGAGGGAGCCGCCUAAGGCGGGACAGAUGACUGGGGUGAAGUCGUAACAAGGU